rnacentral:lncRNA from 1 species
GCGAGCAAAGUUCCUAUGGCAUCCACUUACCAGGAGGGCAGGAAACCCUACUUCCACCAGACAUUUAUUUGUUUAUUCACUCCUACAUGAGUUAUUGCAAAGGUUGAAUCGGAAUUGUGACACUGGCCAGCACACGUGUGAAACCAGGGGCAUCCCCUAUUGAUAAGGAGCCCAGCCCAAGAGCUUCAAGGGAAAUUGACCCCAGCCCCAGCUCCACUGAUGGGCUUGAUGAUUCAGAGAGGAAUCUCACUCCCUUGGUCAAAGUGAAUGGCUCAGCUUCUCUUCUUUCUAGAGAGCCACUGGAAAGGUAGCUUUUUCUCCUCUAUGUGUUGUGGAGAGAAAAAAAAGUGAAACUGUCUUCCUCUCAGCCCACACAGAAGGCUCACACUUGGUGAAGGGAAGGGUGGAGAAGAUUACAGAGAAUAGCCCUGAUGGAACCACACCUGAUUUCUACCUGACCUCUUAAUUUUUUCAUUUGUACGAGUCAGUAAAUGCCUUUUAAUUUUUAAACAAAUAAUUACAGCAACUUAUAGAAGUACCUAAGGUAUUAAGGUACCAUCAUGAAUACAAAGAUAAGCAAGACAAACUUCAAGGGGCUCACCACCUAAUAAAUAUUAUACUU